rnacentral:rRNA from 1 species
CCUACGGGUGGCAGCAGUGAGGAAUAUUGGUCAAUGGGCGCGAGCCUGAACCAGCCAAGUCGCGUGAAGGAUGACUGCCCUACGGGUUGUAAACUUCUUUUAUAAAGGAAUAAAGUGAGGCACGUGUGCCUUUUUGUAUGUACUUUAUGCAUCAGGGUAGGCUUACUCCGUGCUAGCAGCCGCGGUACUAUGGAGGGUGCGAACGGUAUCCGGUUUUAUUUGGUUUAAAGGGAGCAUAGGUGGGUCGUUAAGUCAGUUGUGAAAGUUUGCGGCUCAAACGUAAAAUUGCAAUGGAUACUGGCGGCCUUGAGAGCAGGUGAGGUAGGCGGAAUUCGUGGUGUAGCGGUGAAAUGCGUAGAUAUAACGAAGAACUCCGAUUGCGAAGGCAGCCUACUAGACUGCCACUGACAUUGAUGCUCGAAAGUGUGGGUAGCAAACAGGAUUAGAUACCCGAGUAGUC